AACGAACGCUGGCGGCAUGCCUAACACAUGCAAGUCGAACGGGAUCCUAGCUUGCUAGGUGAGAGUGGCGGACGGGUGAGUAACACGUGGGAAUCUGCCUUUUGGUUCGGGAUAACCGCGGGAAACUGCGGCUAAUACCGAAUGCCCUCGAGAGAGGAAAGAUUUAUCGCCAGAAGAGGAGCCCGCGUCCGAUUAGGUAGUUGGUGGGGUAAAGGCCUACCAAGCCGACGAUCGGUAGCUGGUCUGAGAGGAUGAUCAGCCACACUGGAACUGAGACACGGUCCAGACUCCUACGGGAGGCAGCAGUGGGGAAUAUUGGACAAUGGGCGAAAGCCUGAUCCAGCGACGUCGCGUGGAUGAUGAAGGCCUUCGGUUGUAAGUACUUUCGGUGGGUAAGGAUAAUGACGGUA
rnacentral:rRNA from 1 species